AAAUUGAAGAGUUUGAUCAUGGCUCAGAUUGAACGCUGGCGGCAGGCCUAAUACAUGCAAGUCGAACGGUAACAGGAAGCGCUUGCUGCUUCGCUGACGAGUGGCGGACGGGUGAGUAAUGUCUGGGAAACUGCCUGAUGGAGGGGGAUAACUACUGGAAACGGUAGCUAAUACCGCAUAACGUCGCAAGACCAAAGAGGGGGACCUUCGGGCCUCUUGCCAUCGGAUGUGCCCAGAUGGGAUUAGCUUGUUGGUGGGGUAACGGCUCACC
rnacentral:rRNA from 1 species